CGGGUUGAGAACUCUACAGUUGAUUUUUUUUGUUGCUUUUGGAGCCACACGUGUGUCUGGCCUCUACAGGUGAUCCACACGAGGCUGCAACAAAAUCGGAGGUUCGUUGAACGAAGAUCCGCUCAAAGUGCUAGCUUUUUUACGGAUCUCUCUGAAUGGUUAAUCUAAAAAAUAUUCUUCGGAUCUCUUAGACAUUCCAAGAGAUGAAUAAUAUGA
rnacentral:lncRNA from 1 species